AGUGGCGGACGGGUGAGUAACGCGUGAGAAUCUACCCUCAGGAUGGGGACAACAGUUGGAAACGACUGCUAAUACCCAAUGUGCCGAGAGGUGAAACUUAUAUGGCCUGAGGAAGAGCUCGCGUCUGAUUAGCUAGUUGGUGGGGUAAGAGCCUACCAAGGCGACGAUCAGUAGCUGGUCUGAGAGGAUGAUCAGCCACACUGGGACUGAGACACGGCCCAGACUCCUACGGGAGGCAGCAGUGGGGAAUUUUCCGCAAUGGGCGAAAGCCUGACGGAGCAAGACCGCGUGAGGGAGGAAGGCCUACUGGUUGUAAACCUCUUUUGAUAGGGAAGAACACAAUGACGGUACCUAUCGAAUCAGCCUCGGCUAACUCCGUGCCAGCAGCCGCGGUAAUACGGAGGAGGCAAGCGUUAUCCGGAAUUAUUGGGCGUAAAGCGUCCGUAGGUGGUUUGCCAAGUCAGUUGUUAAAGCGUGGAGCUUAACUCCAUAAGGGCAAUUGAAACUGACAGGCUAGAGUGCGAUAGGGGCAAGGGGAAUUCCCAGUGUAGCGGUGAAAUGCGUAGAUAUUGGGAAGAACAUCGGUGGCGAAAGCGCCUUGCUGGGUCUGCACUGACACUGAGGGACGAAAGCUAGGGGAGCGAAAGGGAUUAGAUACCCCUGUAGUCCUAGCCGUAAACGAUGGAUACUAGGCGUUG
rnacentral:rRNA from 1 species